rnacentral:lncRNA from 1 species
AUGGUUCUGAUUUGCAUUUCCUUGAUGGUUCUUCUCCAAGCCAGGCUUCAGCAAUAUGUGAACCAUGAACUUCCAGAUGUUCAAGCUGGUUUUAGAAAAGGCAGAGGAACCAGAGAUCAAAUUGCCAACAUCCGCUGGAUCAUCGAAAAAGCAAGAGAGUUCCAGAAAAACAUUUAUUUCUGCUUUAUUGACUAUGCCAAAGCCUUUGACUGUGUGGAUCACAAGAAACUGUGGAAAAUUCUGAAAGAGAUAGGAAUGCCAGACCACCUGACCUGCCUCUUGAGAAACCUAUAUGCAGGUCGGGAGGCAAAAGUUAGAACUGGACAUGGAACAACAGACUGGUUCCAAAUAGGAAAAAGAAUACGUCAAGGCUGUGUAUUGUCACCCUGUUUAUUUAACUUCUAUGCAGAGUACAUCAUGAGAAAUGCUGGACUGGAAGAAGCACAAGCUGGAAUCAAGAUUGCCGGGAGAAAUAUCAAUAACCUCAGAUAUGCAGAUGACACCACCCUUAUGGCAGGAAGUGAAGAGGAACUAAAAAGCCUCUUGAUGAAAGUGAAAGAAGAGAGUGAAAAAGUUGGCCUAAAGCUCAACAUUCAGAAAACGAAGAUCAUGGCAUCUGGUCCCAUCACUUCAUGGCAAAUAGAUGGAGAAACAGUGGAAACAGUGUCAGACUUUAUUUUCUUGGGCUCCAAAAUCACUGCAGAUGGUGACUGCAGCCAUGAAAUUAAAACAUGCUUACUCCUUGAAAGAAAAGUUAUGACCAACCUAGACAGCAUAUUGAAAAGCAGAGACACUACUUUGCCAACAAGGGUCCAUUUAGUCAAGGCUAUAGUUUUUCCAGUGGUCAUGUAUGGAUGUGAGAGUUGGACUAUGAAGAAAGCUGAGUGCCAAAGAAUUGAUGCUUUUGAACUGUGGUGUUGGAGAAGACUCUUGAGAGUCCCUUGGACUGCAAGGAGAUCCAACCAGUCCAUUCUGAAGGAGAUCAGCCCUGGGAUUUCUUUGGAAGAACUGAUGCUAAAGCUGUAA